rnacentral:rRNA from 1 species
UACGGGGGGAGCAAGCGUUGUUCGGAUUUACUGGGCGUAAAGGGCGCGUAGGCGGCCACCGCAAGUCGACUGUGAAAUCUUCGGGCUUAACUCGGAAAGGUCAGCCGAUACUGCGGGGCUAGAGUGCAGAAGGGGCAACUGGAAUUCUCGGUGUAGCGGUGAAAUGCGUAGAUAUCGAGAGGAACACCUGCGGCGAAGGCGGGUUGCUGGGCUGACACUGACGCUGAUUGUGCGAAAGCUAGGGGAGCGAACGGG